AGAAACUGAGGAAGUGGAAACAAAGCUGCAGCUCCAAGCACGUAAACAGAGCAGAGGGAGUCCAAGAUCCUCGCAGUUCUUUUGCAAAUGCAACCACCUAAAUAAUUCAUGAGAGCAGAGACACAAGCUGUCAGUGCCACAUCCAGGAACUAAAUCCCCCUUGAAAGAGCUAAUUUAGCCACCGAAGUGGAUCAUCAGACAGAGCAUUAAGACCAUAAGUGGUUAUAGCAAACAGUAAUGUCAAAAUCUAGUCACCAGUUUCCCUUACAUUU